rnacentral:sRNA from 1 species
GUACAAUAGAAUAGGCUCCUCAAGGGUGGUCGGCUCAUCCCCUAAUGAGAGGGGGUGAUGCCAUGACAGUUUAUGAGGCGAUCUCUCUGAUGAUUGCUUUCGGAUCGUUGAUCACGCUGCUGCUGUCGGAAAAGAAAAAGAAAUAGACCGCCCUUGAGCUGACAACUCCGCAGUCUAUUCCACAUAACCUCGAGCCGACCCCAUGAGGGGCAGCUAUUGUACUUGACCGUAGGUGUUCCCGCACCUACG